CAGGGAAAAUUGGUAAUUGUGAUGACCAUGAUGAUGGAUUCAGUGGCCCUUCCCUAGACUUUACUGCUAGAGCUGACCAGUAUGGGGUAGGGAGAACAUGUGCACAGUCAGGACAGCAUAGCGCUGUGGUGCCCUUGGAGGAGACAUUUUAAGAAAAUAGAAAACCAAAAAUCUUGACAUUGCUAGACAUCUCUAUGUCACUGUAUGUCUCUGAGUUUCAGCGGAUGGGCAUAGUGGCUUGCUCCUAGAGUGGGAGGUAACAGAUGCACCCCGGGACUGGACACAAACUCUGAAGAUUUUGAAGAAGUCCAGACAUGUGCUGAAUCUGGAGCUUCCUGUCCAGUGUGAUGUGAAGAGAAGUGUAGUCAAGUUGGAAGGCUACAAGAAGUAAAUCCCAAACCGAUAAGAAGACCAGCGUUCACUUACGGCAGAGGUUUGGCUUUCUCCACGAGACACAGACUCCGGCUGCGUUGCACGCCUCGGCAUACAUUGCCACAGCAGUACAGAAGCCAAGUUGAAGGUCACAGUCUGAGAGGGCAUUCAAGAGGAGCUGUACCACACCUGGAAAGCCACAAUGAUUUUUCUGGAGCAGGGCAGGUGCAUGCCACAAGCUGAGAAGCAUGGGGAGAGGCCUGCAACGCCACUCCCCCACUCACCGCACAGUCCAUCUCUCCAGCCCACAAGGAAUGAACCAAGACCAGGAUUGACACUCUGAGACACUAACAUUUCUAUGAAAUCACCUUAAAUAUUUUGGUCUGUGGAGAGAAACAUCAACAUUCUGAGGUCUGUAACCGAAUUGUAUAUAGCGAGCCGUUUCAUGUAAGAUUACUGAUUGAUCCUCACUAAACCAAAGUGAUUCAAAGUUGAAAUCUGGAAUUUAAUUUCAACAUGUUUCUUUUCAUUGUCUAACACAACCACAAACACACAAUGAGAGCAUGUGUUUCCUCCGUAGGAAAUCAGAACAAAAUAUGUUUUAAUGUAUAGGCAGGAUAACCAUGGAAAGGAAUGCAUGGA